GUCCCCGUAGUUCAAUGGAUAGAACGUCAGUUUCCGGAACUGAAGGUUGAAGGUUCGAGUCCUUUCGGGGACGCCA
rnacentral:tRNA from 1 species